rnacentral:rRNA from 1 species
GAUGAACGCUGGCGGCGUGCCUAAUACAUGCAAGUCGAGCGAACAGACGAUGAGCUUGCUCCUUUGACGUUAGCGGCGGACGUGUGAGUAACACGUGGGUAACCUACCUAUAAGACUGGGAUAACUUCGGGAAACCGGAUCUAAUACCGUAUAAUAUUUCGAACCGCAUGGUUCGAUAGUGAAAUAUGGCUUUUCUAUCACUUAUAGAUGGACCUGCGCCGUAUUAGCUAGUUGGUAAGGUAACGGCUUACCAAGGCAACGAUACGUAGACGACCUGAGAGGGUGAUCGGCAGCACUGGAAGUGAGCCGCGGUCCAGACUACUACGGGAGGCAGCAGUAGGGAAUCGUACGCAAUGGGCGAAAGCAUGACGGAGCAACGCCGCGUGAGUGAUGAAGGUCUUGGGAUCGUAAAACUCUGUUAUUAGGGAAGAACAAACGUGUAAGUAACUGUGCACGUAUUGACGGUAACUAAUCAGAAAGCAACGGCUAACUACGUG